rfam:Neurospora crassa OR74A linkage group IV, whole genome shotgun sequence.
GCGGGUUUAGCUCAGUUGGGAGAGCGUCAGACUGAAGUCCACUUCACUCAUAAAUCUGAAGGUCGUGUGUUCGAUCCACACAAACCGCA